UGGAUCCAUAGCUCAAUCGGUAGAGCGCCCGGCUCAUAACCGGUCGGUUCCAGGUUCAAGUCCUGGUGGAUCCAU
rnacentral:tRNA from 1 species